GGGUUGUGAGGUUAAGCGACUAAGCGUACACGGUGGAUGCCCUGGCAGUCAGAGGCGAUGAAGGGCGUGCUAAUCUGCGAUAAGCGCCGGUAAGGUGAUAUGAACCGUUAUAACCGGCGAUACCCGAAUGGGGAAACCCAGUGUGUUUCGACACACUAUCAUUAACUGAAUCCAUAGGUUAAUGAGGCGAACCGGGGGAACUGAAACAUCUAAGUACCCCGAGGAAAAGAAAUCAACCGAGAUUCCCCAGUAGCGGCGAGCGAACGGGGAGGAGCCCAGAGCCUGAAUCAGCAUGUGUGUUAGUGGAAGCGUCUGGAAAGGCGCGCGAUACAGGGUGACAGCCCCGUACACAAAAGCGCAUGUGCUGUGAGCUCGAUGAGUAGGGCGGGACACGUGGUAUCCUGUCUGAAUAUGGGGGGACCAUCCUCCAAGGCUAAAUACUCCUGACUGACCGAUAGUGAACCAGUACCGUGAGGGAAAGGCGAAAAGAACCCCGGCGAGGGGAGUGAAAAAGAACCUGAAACCGUGUACGUACAAGCAGUGGGAGCACCCUUUGGGGUGUGACUGCGUACCUUUUGUAUAAUGGGUCAGCGACUUAUAUUCUGUAGCAAGGUUAACCGAAUAGGGGAGCCGGAGGGAAACCGAGUCUUAAUUGGGCGUUAAGUUGCAGGGUAUAGACCCGAAACCCGGUGAUCUAGCCAUGGGCAGGUUGAAGGUUGGGUAACACUAACUGGAGGACCGAACCGACUAAUGUUGAAAAAUUAGCGGAUGACCUGUGGCUGGGGGUGAAAGGCCAAUCAAACCGGGAGAUAGCUGGUUCUCCCCGAAAGCUAUUUAGGUAGCGCCUCGUGAAUUCAUCUCCGGGGGUAGAGCACUGUUUCGGCUAGGGGGCCAUCCCGGCUUACCAACCCGAUGCAAACUGCGAAUACCGGAGAAUGUUAUCACGGGAGACACACGGCGGGUGCUAACGUCCGUCGUGAAGAGGGAAACAACCCAGACCGCCAGCUAAGGUCCCAAAGUCAUGGUUAAGUGGGAAACGAUGUGGGAAGGCCCAGACAGCCAGGAUGUUGGCUUAGAAGCAGCCAUCAUUUAAAGAAAGCGUAAUAGCUCACUGGUCGAGUCGGCCUGCGCGGAAGAUGUAACGGGGCUAAACCAUGCACCGAAGCUGCGGCAGCGACGCUGAUGCGUUGUUGGGUAGGGGAGCGUUCUGUAAGCCUGCGAAGGUGGCCUGUGAGGGUUGCUGGAGGUAUCAGAAGUGCGAAUGCUGACAUAAGUAACGAUAAAGCGGGUGAAAAGCCCGCUCGCCGGAAGACCAAGGGUUCCUGUCCAACGUUAAUCGGGGCAGGGUGAGUCGACCCCUAAGGCGAGGCCGAAAGGCGUAGUCGAUGGGAAACGGGUUAAUAUUCCCGUACUUGGUGUUACUGCGAAGGGGGGACGGAGAAGGCUAUGUUGGCCGGGCGACGGUUGUCCCGGUUUAAGCGUGUAGGUGUGUGUUCCAGGUAAAUCCGGUUCACUUUAACACUGAGGCGUGAUGACGAGGCACUACGGUGCUGAAGCAACAAAUGCCCUGCUUCCAGGAAAAGCCUCUAAGCAUCAGGUAACAUCAAAUCGUACCCCAAACCGACACAGGUGAUCAGGUAGAGAAUACCAAGGCGCUUGAGAGAACUCGGGUGAAGGAACUAGGCAAAAUGGUGCCGUAACUUCGGGAGAAGGCACGCUGACAUGUAGGUGAAGUGAUUUACUCAUGGAGCUGAAGUCAGUCGAAGAUACCAGCUGGCUGCAACUGUUUAUUAAAAACACAGCACUGUGCAAACACGAAAGUGGACGUAUACGGUGUGACGCCUGCCCGGUGCCGGAAGGUUAAUUGAUGGGGUCAGCGCAAGCGAAGCUCCUGAUCGAAGCCCCGGUAAACGGCGGCCGUAACUAUAACGGUCCUAAGGUAGCGAAAUUCCUUGUCGGGUAAGUUCCGACCUGCACGAAUGGCGUAAUGAUGGCCAGGCUGUCUCCACCCGAGACUCAGUGAAAUUGAACUCGCUGUGAAGAUGCAGUGUACCCGCGGCAAGACGGAAAGACCCCGUGAACCUUUACUAUAGCUUGACACUGAACAUUGAGCCUUGAUGUGUAGGAUAGGUGGGAGGCUUUGAAGUGUGGACGCCAGUCUGCAUGGAGCCGGCCUUGAAAUACCACCCUUUAAUGUUUGAUGUUCUAACGUGGACCCGUGAUCCGGGUUGCGGACAGUGUCUGGUGGGUAGUUUGACUGGGGCGGUCUCCUCCUAAAGAGUAACGGAGGAGCACGAAGGUUGGCUAAUCCUGGUCGGACAUCAGGAGGUUAGUGCAAUGGCAUAAGCCAGCUUGACUGCGAGCGUGACGGCGCGAGCAGGUGCGAAAGCAGGUCAUAGUGAUCCGGUGGUUCUGAAUGGAAGGGCCAUCGCUCAACGGAUAAAAGGUACUCCGGGGAUAACAGGCUGAUACCGCCCAAGAGUUCAUAUCGACGGCGGUGUUUGGCACCUCGAUGUCGGCUCAUCACAUCCUGGGGCUGAAGUAGGUCCCAAGGGUAUGGCUGUUCGCCAUUUAAAGUGGUACGCGAGCUGGGUUUAGAACGUCGUGAGACAGUUCGGUCCCUAUCUGCCGUGGGCGCUGGAGAACUGAGGGGGGCUGCUCCUAGUACGAGAGGACCGGAGUGGACGCAUCACUGGUGUUCGGGUUGUCAUGCCAAUGGCACUGCCCGGUAGCUAAAUGCGGAAGAGAUAAGUGCUGAAAGCAUCUAAGCACGAAACUUGCCCCGAGAUGAGUUCUCCCUGAGACUUUAAGUCUCCUGAAGGAACGUUGAAGACGACGACGUUGAUAGGCCGGGUGUGUAAGCGCAGCGAUGCGUUGAGCUAACCGGUACUAAUGAACCGUGAGGCUUAACCUUACAACGCCGAAG
rnacentral:rRNA from 2 species